rnacentral:rRNA from 1 species
AACAAACGCUGGCGGCGUGCCUAAUACAUGCAAGUCGAACGGGGAAAGCUUUCGGGUGAGUACUAGUGGCGCACGGGUGAGUAACGCGUGGAUAAUCUGCCUUAGAGUGGGGGAUAACUAGUCGAAAGAUUAGCUAAUAGCGCAUAAGACCACAAGAACUGCGGUUCAAGAGGUCAAAGGUUUUUCGCUCUAAGAUGAGUCCGCGUAAGAUUAGCUAGUUGGUGAGGUAACGGCUAACCAAGGCAACGAGCUUUAACUGGUCUGGGAGGAUGAUCAGUCACACUGGAGCUGAGACACGGUCCAGACUCCUACGGGGGGCAGCAGUAGGGAAUAUUGCACAAUGGAGGAAACUCUGAUGCAGCGACGCCGCGUGAGUGAUGAAGGCCUUCGGGUCGUAAAGCUCUGUCGCAGGGGAAUAACACAAUGAAUGUACCCUGUAAGAAAGGAUCGGCUAACUUCGUGCCAGCCGCCGCCGUAAUAC